rnacentral:rRNA from 1 species
AACCAACGCUGGCGGCGUGCCUAAUACAUGCAAGUCGAACGGGGAAAGCUUUCGGGUGAGUACUAGUGGCGCACGGGUGAGGAACGCGUGGAUAAUCUGCCUUAGAGUGGGGGAUAACUAGUCGAAAGAUUAGCUAAUACCGCAUAAGACCACGAGAGCUGCGGCUUUUGAGGUCAAAGGUUUUUCGCUCUAAGAUGAGUCCGCGUAAGAUUAGCUAGUUGGUGAGGUAACGGCUCACCAAGGCGACGAUCUUUAACUGGUCUGAGAGGAUGAUCAGUCACACUGGAACUGAGACACGGUCCAGACUCCUACGGGAGGCAGCAGUAGGGAAUAUUGCACAAUGGAGGAAACUCUGAUGCAGCGACGCCGCGUGAGGGAUGAAGGCCUUCGGGUCGUAAAGCUCUGUCGCAGGGGAAUAACACAAUGAAGGUACCCUGUAAGAAAGGAUCGGCUAACUUCGUG